AGUGUAAAAGGUAUUGCAAGGGACUAGCAACAGGUAAGCUGUUGCUAGUCCCUUGCAAUACCUUUUACACUAACACCCUAGUA